UUCAUUUCUUCCUUCACUUUCUGUUGAAUGAGUGUCUGCCACUUGUUCUUGUAGAGGUUCAGAUACUCACUUCAUUAUUUUACCUGCUUCUGCCUUGCUCUCCCCCACUCUGAUUGAUUUUUCUUCAUAUAUAUGUUCUCAUUGUUUUAUUGAGCUUUCUGCAAAUCUUCUUAUUGAGAAUAUUGAAUCAGUACAUCAGAUUCUUUGUGAGACAGAGAUGUACUCUGCAUUUCUACACACUUAUCUUGAGAUCUUGAAGUUCUUGAUGCAGGCUGAGUUUUAAUUUUUGUUGUGUAUGAAUUGUUUCUGAAGGUGUUGAGCUGAGAUGUUUUGUUGAUAUGUGUCUUUUUCUUUUCUUUGUUCUUGCAAUAUUCAUAUAUUUUUAGAAAUUGAGUGAAGCUCUUGUGGUGGCUACUAGAGCUGUGUGUGAAUAGAUCUUUUUUCUGGCUUUCUUUUUCCCUUCCUCUUUUUCUUAUCUGACAUCAAUCUCAUGUGAUCUUUUACUGAUUCUAUACUUUGAUAACCAGGUG
rnacentral:sRNA from 2 species